UAGCUCAGUCCGUAGAGCAUGGGACUCUUAAUCCCAGGGUUGUGGGUUUGGGCCCCAC
rnacentral:tRNA from 1 species